UUGAGUAAUGUAGGAUCCUAAAAGUUUUUUCAAUUGUUGUUGCCGUCUUCACUUUUACACACCCACCCACACCAAACAUAAGCCAUCUCCGAUUUCCCUCCCAAAGCCUCCGAAAGAAACCUCAAUCACUUACCUACUCAGAGAGCUAACCCCCGCCUUCAACUACUCGGAGUGUGAGGCCCUGAACCUUGGAGACAAUCUUUAUACUCUCAAGCAUUAUCGCUCCGACAUCGAACGCCAAUCUGACUGGGGAAUUUUUUUUUUUUUUUUUUUUUUUUUUCUAUAAGUGUCUUAGAUACUUUGCCCCUGCCCUCAAUCUAGUCUCUCACGGCUUACGUGGAGGAGUACCAGACGUUACUCGUUGAUGGCUAAUGCUAAAUCCUCAAAUCUUUCUGAAGGAUUUCAAAGUCGCCAUUCCAGAGCACUUUCUCGUAUCCGCUCCUUCUCUUCUUCCACCAUUACAACCAGCACUAACACUAACCUUAACCUAACCUUACUGAUACGAAUUCGGUACCCGACCAGCUUAGUGAAGCAUCGAAAGAGAAGGGUAAUGCCUCAUGUCCCCAAGCUCGAUUGGGAGUGGAGGAAAAAUUUGUAGGUCUGGGGAAGGGCCUUCUUCAGUGGAGAAUAAGGAUAGAAGAGGAGUAGACUUUGAUGGGUUUCCGACGGAACCCGUCAAUGGAUCUGUUUCUUUGACUGGUAGUGCGAAUUCACAAGAUGUCCGAGUCGAGAAAGUUGAUGAAUUGUCGAACCCUACCUGGGCAGUAUUGGGUGAGGUGUGGAUGUGAUGAAGGUUAACCCCAAAAACUGCAUGAGCAUUGACGGCCAACUGAUGAAAGACACAAGGCACUAGUGAUACUGCUGGCAAACCCACCGUGCUGCUAUCUUUUAUAUUAUUUCACUCUUAAUAUUCAAAGUGCCAUAUGUUGUUGUAUGCAUAUAUGCCUUCCAUUUCUUUUACUUCUUUCUCCAUCAAUAUCAUUGCCUAAACAACAAUAUAUGUGUGUGUGUAUACAUAUAUAUAUAUGUGUGUGUGUGUGUGUGUGUGUGUGUGUGUGUUUCUAUCUCAUGAUCCUUGAACAUUUCAAUCUUCUAUGUAUAACAAUAUAUGUGUGUAUAUACAUAUAUAUGUGUGUGUGUGUGUGUGUUUCUAUCUCAUGAUCCUUGAACAUUUCAAUCUUCUAGUGGACUUGAUACAUAUAUGCAACAUUAGUGCAUGCGUUUGUUUCUUUGCUUUUCUGGGGUCUGAUCAUCUGAUCAUCUAUCUGGCUUAUUUAUCAUAUUCAACUAAUACAUUUUUUUUAAAAUUUUUUUAUUUGACACUAAUUACUUUUAUCCCAAAGAUGCUGAUUGGAUAUGAAAAAAUAAAAAAGAAUGGACCUGACAGUUUGCCUUUCUACCGAUUGCAGCACACACUUUUUCUGCAACAAGAGAGUGUUCCUUAGCUGACAAAUGUUUAGCUAUUCCCACUGCUCUCUUGUGUUGUGCCUGUAUAAUUUCCUGGCUCCAGACACUCUUUUCUAGCCCCAGUCAACAAAGCAUUACCCUUUUUUAAUAUUCUACUCUUUCUUGCUAUAUUGCUUCAACUUUUCUUAUUUUUCCACUCCAAUUCAUUAUCAGAUUUUAAGCAUAUUAUUUACAAAAGGAAAAAGGAAUUUAGGCAUAUUGUAAUUAAGAGGUGAAUAUAGGGUAGAGGAAAUUAUAUAAAUGGAGAUAGACUAAAAUAUAAAAGACAAUUAGCAUGGAAGGCUCAUUACAGAGUUCUUAGAAAAGCAGAGAUUAGCACUAAUGCAGUAAGAUUUUUUUUUAGUUAUUAUUAUCCUCUAGCUAGCUAGCCUUACAAUACUCAUGCACAUAUAGCAUAACGCAGAAAAAUAAGUGGUGAUAGAUUCUUCAAACUUGUACUUCUAAUUUUUACUUAUUGUAGACCAAGUGGUCCGGAUUCUUUCAUGCACACCAUGUGAGUACUCAUCCUCGGUAAUGGAUGCAAAAGAGUUCCUAUAAUGUUAUGUUAUUUCUGGGUCAUUAUGAUCAGAUCGGUCUUUUCUUUUUGUUCUUGUUAAUGUAGUUUGCUUAAAAUUAUGAAGCUCGUGUUGAAGGUAAUUUGCAUUUUAUGCUUUUUAAUUGAAUAUGUGAUGAUUUAUACUUUAUACAAUUGUUCUUAUUAUUUAAUUUUUUUUUCUCUCUUUUUUUUUUUUUUUUUUGGUAUGAGUCAUUAGAUGUGGAUGCUAAAUCAUUCUAUGAUUCAGAUUUAUCUAACGGCAUGCUUUGCAGAGGUGAACAUAGAUAUUGUUAGAUUAAUACAUGCCUUUUUGUGGGUCACAAGCUGGAACUCUUACUAUAUUGAUGGGGAUAUUUUAAGGAUUGCUGUUUUGCUACUAGUCCAACCAUCAAAGAUGACACACUACAUUGUUGAUUAGCACUAUAUUGAUGUGGAGCCUCCAAUCCUUUAACAGAGUGAAGGCAGUGCAUAGCCUGCAUGUCUCUUUUGCCGGCAAUGUCAAUGGCGUGGAGGAUAAAUAUUUUAAAGGAGAUGAUAAAGAUGGAAAGGAACAAUGAAUUGUGGCAGGGCUAGUGGUAGCCAUGGCAUUCAUUUUGUGGUAAACAGGUGGACCACUCUAGGGCGUAGACGGCAAUUCCAACGAGAUUUUGGGUGCUGCGUGCGGCAGAUUCUGGGCAAAUCGAGCUGCGAGACUAUUGCCAAUGCACAGAUCUGCAAAAGGCCAUUCAUUUGGUAUCGCUGGUGGUGCUUCGAUGUUGGUGGUGGACGUCGGCGUGAAUGGCCACUUUAACCGUGAGUUGCAGCGCCACGAAUGGCGUUUUCCGGCUAACUCUAGCUACAAGGCUGCCAUGGUUUCACAGUUCAUGUUGGUUCGUCUAUUCAUUUGUGGUGGACCCGUUGAUGUUCUUCUGAUGUAAAAAAAUUAGAAACUUGGACUAAUUUUAAAAAUUGUACAAAAAAAAAAAAAAAAAAAAGGUCAAAAGGGUUUUAAAGUAAUCUAAGUAAUAAAAAACAAUUUAAAAAGAAAUUUUGAUGGUGCAAAUAGCAUUACUCAAAUAUAUAAUAUGUCAAAAUUUUUAUUAAAUUAUGAAUGUGAUUAUUGGUUGUCUA